rnacentral:rRNA from 1 species
GACGAACGCUGGCGGCGUGCUUAACACAUGCAAGUCGAACGGAAAGGCCCUGCUUUUGUGGGGUGCUCGAGUGGCGAACGAGUGAGUAACACGUGAGUAACCUGCCCUUGACUUUGGGAUAACUUCAGGAAACUGGGGCUAAUACCGGAUAGGAGCUCCUGCUGCAUGGUGGGGGUUGGAAAGUUUCGGCGGUUGGGGAUGGACUCGCGGCUUAUCAGAUUGUUGGUGGGGUAGUGGCUUACCAAGGCUUUGACGGGUAGCCGGCCUGAGAGGGUGACCGGCCACAUUGGGACUGAGAUACGGCCCAGACUCCUACGGGAGGCAGCAGUGGGGAAUAUUGCACAAUGGGCGGAAGCCUGAUGCAGCAACGCCGCGUGCGGGAUGACGGCCUUCGGGUUGUAAACCGCUUUCGCCUGUGACGAGGCGUGAGUGACGGUAAUGGGUAAAGAAGCACCGGCUAACUACGUG